CCGCGGGAUUAACGCGAAGAACCUUACCUGGGCUCGAACGGCUUCUCAACGGCAGUGGAAACAUUGCUACCCCGCAAGGGAGUGGAGUCGAGGUGCUGCAUGGCUGUCGUCAGCUCGUGUCGUGAGAUGUUGGGUUAGGUCCCGCAAUGAGCGCAACCCCUGUCCUGUGUUGCCAGCAUUGAGUUGGGCACUCUCAGGAGACCGCCAGCGAUAAGUUGGAGGAAGGUGGGGAUGACGUCAAGUCAUCAUGGCCUUUAUGUCCAGGGCUACACACGUGCUACAAUGGGCGGUACAAACCGACGCCAACCCGCGAGGGGGAGCAAAUCGGUAAAAACCGCUCUCAGUUCGGAUUGCAGGCUGCAACUCGCCUGCAUGUAGCUGGAAUCGCUAGUAAAGGUA
rnacentral:rRNA from 1 species